ACUCCUACGGGAGGCAGCAGUGGGGAAUCUUGGACAAUGGGCGCAAGCCUGAUCCAGCCAUGCCGCGUGAGUGAUGAAGGCCCUAGGGUCGUAAAGCUCUUUCGCCAGGGAUGAUAAUGACAGUACCUGGUAAAGAAACCCCGGCUAACUCCGUGCCAGCAGCCGCGGUAAUACGGAGGGGGUUAGGCGUUGUUCGGAAUUACUGGGGCGUAAAGCGCGCGUAGGCGGACUGGAAAGUUGGGGGUGAAAUCCCGGGGGCUCAACCCCGGAACUGCCUCCAAAACUCCCAGUCUUGAGUUCGAGAGAGGUGAGUGGAAUUCCGAGUGUAGAGGUGAAAUUCGUAGAUAUUCGGAGGAACACCAGUGGCGAAGGCGGCUCACUGGCUCGAUACUGACGCUGAGGUGCGAAAGUGUGGGGAGCAAACAGGAUUAGAUACCCUGGUAGGAUAGCG
rnacentral:rRNA from 1 species